rnacentral:rRNA from 1 species
UUAUUUAACGGCCGCGGUACUCUGACCGUGCAAAGGUAGCAUAAUCAUUUGCCUUAUAAUUGAAGGCUUGUAUGAAUGGUUUGACAAAAAUUAAUCUGUCUCUUAUCAAUUAAAAUGAAAUUGACUUUUAGGUGUAAAGGCCUAAAUAUAACUAAUAGACAAGAAGACCCUAUUGAGCUUUAAAGAUUUAUAAUGGUGUAAGUUAUAUUAGAAGUAAAAUUAUGAACUAUUAAGAUUUUUUAGUUGGGGCGACUAUGGAACAAGUAAAACUUCCAGAAUUUUGUAGUAUUUGUUGUUAAUUUAUUUAAAUUUGAUCCAAAAUAUUUUGAUUAAUAGAAUAAGUUACCAUAGGGAUAACAGCAUAAUCUAUCUUAAGAGUUCUAAUCGAAAGAAAGGUUUGUGACCUCGAUGUUGGAUUAAAAUACCCUAAGGGUGCAGAAGCUCUUGAAGGUUGGUCUGUUCG